GCAUUGUAGCUAGCAUGAAGAGAGAUUGGAUGCAGGCAGACUGGGAGGAAGCCAAGCGGAUUAUGUGGUGCAGCAUUAUACAUUGCUGCACUCUCUCAUGGGUGUAAUUACACCAAGGCAGAUAUUGUCUCUGUUGUGCAUGUGUGUGAGGCCACUCUAACGAAGCGAUUGAUAGAGUUCGAAAAUACAGAUUCUGGCAGCUUAACAGUA